AUUGCGAAUCUUCAGCACAGAAAUCUUGUGAAACUACUUGGCUGUUGCAUUCAUCUGGACGAGAGACUCUUGAUAUAUGAAUUCAUGAUAAACAGAAGCUUGGACUACUUCAUUUUUGGUUUGAAAUUUUAUCCUAUAUAUUACUUGUUUUGAUUUUCUGUACCAACAAGCUGUCUUUUUAUGACUAAGCUGAAAUUUUUUGAUCAGAUCAAACUAGAAGAAGUUCAUUGCAUUGGACUCGAAGAUUUCAAAUUAUUCGUGGGAUCGCUCGAGGACUUCUUUAUCUUCAUGAAGAUUCUAGAUUAAGGAUUAUCCACAGAGAUCUCAAGACCAGCAAUAUUCUUCUAGACAAAAAUAUGAAUCCUAAAAUAUCAGACUUCGGUCUUGCUAGAACAUUAUGGGGAGAUGAAGCUGAAGUCGAAACAAUUAGAGUAGUAGGAACUCAGUAAGCAUGCUUAAACUACUUGAAUUUUUUGCUUUAUGAAACAUAAAUAUUCUGCUGCUCCUUUUCCUAAGCCCGGUAUCUUUUCUUUCUUUAUUAUUUUUUUCAGUGGUUACAUAUCUCCAGAGUAUGCAGCACGUGGAUUUUUCUCCGUGAAAUCAGAUGUCUUUAGUUUCGGUGUUAUUAUACUAGAGACAAUAACUGGAAAAAAGAACAGGGAAUAUAGUGACCAUCAUGAUCUUGACCUUCUUGGAUAUGUAAGUAUAAUGAUUCAGUCCAAUAAAACAACAUAUGUUUUGGUACAUUGAAAACAGUGUUUCCAAUCGAAGAUUACACAAAAUAGACGUUUGUUCAAAUUUUGCUACGUUGCAAAGCAAUAGCGCUGCUAUAACUGCUAUUUAACAAUACUUUGUACUGAAUCACAUAUCACGAAAAAAUAUUAUUUAUCAACAAUGAUUGAAAAGUAAACUCAAAACUCACAAUCUUAAUUUUCAUGUCCUCUAGGCAUGGAGAAUGUGGUGUGACUCAACGCCGUUGAUGCUGAUAGAUGAAUCUCUAAGCGAUUCGAUUGCUGUAGCCGAACCUGAAAUAUUGAGAUGUAUUCAGAUAGGGCUUUUAUGUGUGCAAGAGAGACCUGAUGACAGACCAGACAUGUCAGCAGCAGUUCUAAUGCUGAAUGGUGAAAAAGCAUUGCCUAAGCCAAAGGAACCAGCCUUCUUUCCACACCAAUUCGGCUCGUCAUCAGGAACUACUAAGUUGUAUUCAAACAAUGAAGUUUCCAUAACAAUGUUAGAAGCAAGAUAGUUUAAAUGAAACCAAAGGCCAAUUCUCUUGUCAAUAUAAUGUUGGCUUUUUUGUAGAAGUACUUAACCACAAAAGAAACUUCUGGUAAAAGUUUUUUUUUUUUUUUUUUUUUUGUAUUUGUACAUCAUUAUUGUUGUCUUUGUACCUGUGUUUAGGUUUAAUCCAUUGAGAGUGAUAAUAGAAUGAUCAGAGGCUUAAAAGAAUGAUCUAUCUAACGCAUAUCAGUUUGGAAUAUCUUUUCUCACCCCCUCAAUUUUCUUAAACACUUCUAUAUUUUGCAAUAAAAAAUAAACCUUCCUUGUGCUAUAAACUGAAUCUUUGAAGACAUGAAAACAUUACAUGGGGAAAAAACACAUUACGAGGAACUUAACUGGGAAUUUGGUGAAACCAAUGAAAAAUAUGGCUCCUGAAUCCUUUCUUCUGAGGAAUUACGUUCACGAGGUUUCUCUAUACAUCGAUGAAGCUCAUAUUGUGGGGACGAAAAAAAAAUUCAGUUUCAAAGCUAGUGUAUAUGCAAAAUAAAUAAAAACUAUCAUCAUAAAAUAAUAUAUAGAUUUUUAUUUAUCUUCUCUUUAUCAAAAAAAUAAAGGUUAUAUUUAAUUUGUUUUGAGCUUGGAGCCUACUUGAACAAGGGGCCAUGUGACUAGGUCGGUCGUGGUCGUAAAUGUGUGUUUCGAUUGAUGGUUUAUGAGGGGAAAGGAAGUAAGAGUUUACUUCUCUUUUUUAAAUUUCAGAAUAUAUAAUACUACUAUGUUUUUUUAAAAAUUAAGUGUGAUUGAAGUGUUAUAUGAUUGUUUAUCAUGUUAAUAUGUUAACUUUUUAAAAAAUAUUUCAUAGUGUUUGUAAUUUAAAAAUGAAAAGUAAUCUCUUCCCUCCCCUCCCAUUCUAAACCCUUCAUCCAAACACACCCGUUUGGUUCGGGGUUUUGAUGGGGAGGGGAGGGAAGGGAAUAUUUUAAAUUUGUUGUGUUUGGUUCAAUUUUUAGAAUGGGAGGGGAGGGAGAGGAAGGGGAGCAAAAUCCCUCAAAAACUCAUUUAUUUUGGAGGGGAGGGGAGGGAAAGAUAAAUGAGUUAAUGCAAUUUUAAUUACGUUGACAUAAUUAUCCUCAUAUUUAUUUUUAAAUAACAAAAUCGUCCUUAUUAAAAAUUUAAGUGUUUUCAAUAUAUUGCUUAUUACCCUUUUUUCUUAUCGUGCCUAUCUCAUCAUUUUCUUCUUCGUUUUUUAAGUAGAACCACAUAUUCUUCUCUUCUAAUAUUUUUUUGACGAGAAAUUUUUUUGUACUAACGUUGUUCUCAUUUUUUUUAUUUAAUAUUUUUUUAAUAGUAUUAUAUAUUAAAACUUUAUCAACAAAUUUUGUGCUGGAUUUUUUAUAAAUAUAUUUUAUAAAUCAGUUCUAACAAUAAUUUUUUUAUAAAUAUUUUUAUAUUUUCCUACAUUAUUUUAUAAGUCAGUGCUCUAAUAUUUAUGAAUACCCAAUAUCUUGUCAGAAGUUUUGUGUAUGAUUAUUUAUGGAGUUUUCGGUUACUGAAUUUUUAUGUUUAAUUUUUUAUGAAGUGAAUAAUUUAAAAAUUGUGAUACUAUUUUAAUAUUAUAGGGAUAAAAAAGUAAUUUAGUUUUAAAAUCCCUCCCCUCCCCUCGUGAACCAAACAUAUAUUUGAUUAAAAUCCCUCCCCUCCCCUCCCCUUCCAUCAUUUGAACCAAACAUAUAUUUAAUUGAAAUAUCUCCCUUUCCCUCCCCUCCAUUAAAACUCCUCCCCUCCCCUCCCCUUCCCUUCGUUGAACCAAACAGAAGAGUCUAUCACAGCGUAGAUGAUAGUAGUCGGUCGUACCAAUCUAAAGUUCACCAAAAGUCAAGUGGUUAAAGCUGUUAGGAUAAAUAUAUUUUUGGCCUUAGAGAUACAUGUUAGUGUUUGCAUAAUUUUAAAGAGUUUUUCUAUGUGCAAAUUUGCACAUGCUGAGAAAUUUAAAAUUUUUUUAGGGAUACUUUUAAUUGUUUUUAACAUGUGCCGUAGCGAAAGGAACUUUAUCUUUUCAUUAUAUGUGCUGAAGGAUUGUCCGCUUUAUUAAAAAGAGCUGAAGCGAAAGGAGAGAUACAUGGCAUUAAGGUGUGUCGAGGAGCUCCGCUUCUCACACACCUAUUAUUUGCUGAUGAUUGUUUUUUGUUUUGCAGGGCUACCAUGCGAGAAAGUACAAAAAUAAAGGAGAUUUACAGACUUAUGAAGCAGUUUCGGGCCAAGCGAUUAAUUUCCAAAAAUCAGAAAUUUUCUUCAGCAAAAACACAUCAGAAGCAGUCCAAAAUUUGUAUCAGGUUACAAAUACAAUGGGAAGUGGAAAGUAUCUUGGAAUGCCAUCACUGAUUGGCCGAAGUAAAAGGGCGAUGUUUGGAUAUUUGAGGGAUCGAGUGUGGAGGAAGAUUCAACAGUGGUCAGGGAAGCAUCUUUCGAAAGCGGGACGUGAAGUUCUCAUCAAGUCAGUAGCUCAAGCAAUACCAACAUAUUGUAUAAGUACUUUCUUAUUACCAACGUCCUCAAGGUGAAAGAGAUCCAAAAGAUGAUUAAUUCCUUUUGGUGGGGUUCGAAUAGAAGGCAAGGUAGAGGGAUCAAUUGGCUCCGAUGGGAUAAAUUAACAAUGAGGAAGGAGUAUGGUGGUAUGGGGUUUAGACACUUUUUUUGCUUUAAUUUGGCUAUGCUAGGGAAGCAGGGUUGGAAGCUUUUAACUAACCAAGAUACAAUUGUUUCUCGCAUUUACAAAGCUAAAUAUUUUCUGAAGACUGAUUUUUUGGGGGCCCGUCUAGGUCAUAACCCAAGUUAUAUUUGGCGUAGUAUCUUUGCUUCACAGGUAAUAGUUAGAGGAGGUCAAAGAUGGCGAAUUGGAAAUGGUAAGAGUAUUGCGGUGUGGACAGAUCCGUGGCUAAGGGAAGAUGAGAAGGUUGCAGAUUUGAUGAGUGGAGAAAGCUGGAAUUGGGGGAUGAUAGCAGGGAUUUUUAAUGAUCAUGAUAGGAAAGCGAUAUCUAAUUUAGCAUUACUAAACCGGGAUGGGGAAGAUAGGAUCAUUUGGAAGUUUAAUCGUUAUGGAAAUUAUACGGUAAGGUCGGCAUAUAGAUAUGCAAUGGAAACACUUGUGGAUAAUGUUGAAUACCGAGUUUCGGGAGAAUGGUUAAAAAUGUGGAGUUUAAAGAUUCCUCAAAGGAUAAAAGUUUUCCUUUGGAGAGCUGUGAGGGGUGCUUUGCCUACGCGUAUGCGGUUGCAAGAUAAAGUUGUUCCGUGUACGGAUUGCUGUCCUUUUUGUGAAACAAAUUACGAGAACAAUUGGCAUGUUUUCAUGGGUGUGAAGAAGUGAAAACUGUUUGGCGGACAGCAGGCCUAUGGGAUUUAAUUGUUGAGACAGUUGCUGAUGUCGCGAGUUUAGUAGACUGUUUUUUCUCAUUAUUAUGCAGGUUAACAGCUGAUAAGUGCAAAGACAUGGCAAUGAUACUUUGGUGCAUACGGCGUCGCCGUAAUGACAAAGUAUGGGACGGUGAUCUGAAGCUAGUUUCGAUCGCAAUUCAGUUAGCACGUGAGGCGCUAUUCCAAUGGCAGAUUGCGAGAUAGACCACUGCAGCACCACAUCAGACAGAACAGCAACAAACAAUACAGUGGCAGCCACCAGCACAAGGUGUUCUAAAAUGCAACGUCAACGUGGCCAUUUUCAAUGAGCAGAAGAGUUUUGGUACAUGUAUUUGUAUUAGAGAUCAUCGUGGCCAAAUUAUAAAGGCUGCUACAAAUUGGUACAAAGGAAAUCCUCUUCCUCAAGAAGCUGAAGCGGUGGGUUUACGUGAUGUUAUUUUGUGGCUUGGACAGUUGGGAUUAUUGGAUGUGCACAUUGAACUAGAUUGUAAGCUAGUGGUUGAUAGCAUAUGUGAUAAGAAUAAUAACCAAACCGAAUUUGGCAAUAUCAUAGCUGAUUGUAUGUCACUUUUACAACAAUUCACAAACUUUAAGAUAAAUUUUGUUAGGAGACAAGCGAAUGUUGUCGCUUAUAGCUUAGCAAGAGUGUCAAUAUUACAUGUUCCUCACCAUGUCUUUGAUUUGAUUCCAUCUUAUAUUACAAACCUUGCGAUGAAUGAAAUAAUAUGAGUUUAUGGUUGUCAAAAAACAUGUGCAAUAUUGCACAUGUUAGAGAAAUCCAAAUUUAAAUACUAACCAAAACCUUCAAAAGUUGAUGUUAUAAUUGAAUAUCUUCCUCGGUUUCGCAAAGAAUAUCAUUUUUGCUCAUGCCGCACGUAUUAAUUAAUCAAUAAAUGAUUAUAAAUAGAAUAAAUAUUAACUUUAACUAUUUAAACUUAUUAACUACUCCCUCCGUCCCAAAUUGUAUGUCAUUUAGAAAAAAAUAUUUGUUCCAAAUUGUAUGUCACUUUACAAUACCAAUGAAACAUUAAUGUUAUUUUUCCUAUUAUAACCUUAACUAUUUAUUACUCUCUCUUCUUUCAAGUCUUUUAUUUAUCUUUUCCAUAGGACAAUUUUGUAAAACAACUCAUAAUAUCUCUUUUCCACACAAUAUUAAUUACAUUUCUUAAUAUGUGUGAAAUGCCCAAAACACCAUACAAUUUAGGACGGAGGAAGUAUUUUUUUUUUAAAGAAAACUUAUUAACUAUUUGUAUGUUUCUAACUAUCAUUCAGGCAAAAUGUAACAUAACAUUUUUGAGAUCGUAAUGUAUAUAGUAUUGAUUAAGUAGAUAAUAAAGUUAAAAAAGAACGUAAGUUAUACUUACAUUACAAACUGAAAGUUGCAUUUCUUUUGAGACGAUUUUCUUUUCCUAAAAUAACAUCUAUCGCAAUCAAAUAAUUGUGCUUAAUUGGUUAAUGAGCUCUAAUAAAAGAAAACAAGGAGUUUGAUAUUUGGUGGAACAAUUCUUAACUAGAUUUUGCUUACCUCUUGUUGAACUAUGAAUUACAUGGUCCUUUUCUUGAGAAAAGAAGGGUGUUUUUAGGCAUGGCAACGGUGACAGAUCAAGAAAUUUUGAUAAGUAGAGACAAAAUUAUAUCAUAAAAAUUUAUAUCAAACUAUAUAAAUGCAUAAGCGUGCAAAAAUUAUUAAGUUAUGUUUAUAAUUGCUUUAAAAUGUUGAUUUUUUAAAAUAUUUUUCCACUUCUAGUAGAGUAUAAAAAAUAGAAUUUUUCUAUCGUGUGCAAAUUUGCACAUGUUAAGAAAUUUAAAAUAGUAAUUUUUCAUUGGAACUUGAACAUUUUUUAUUAAAAAUAUAUAACUUUUUAUAAAAUAAUUGUUGGUUUUCAAUAAAAACUUACUAUUUUUAGUUGCUUUAACAUGUGCAGUAUUAUACAUGUUAGACAAACCCUAAAAAAUAUAACCCUAAUUAACUAUAUUUUAAACCACCAACGACAAUCAUAAAGCCUUUUUCAACAAAUAUAAGAAUAGUUUAGAACAUAAUAGUAGUUUUAGGGUCUUGCUAACGAUAUGUUUUAAGAGAAUUGGUUAAAUUUCCUAAAAAAAAAUUAAUAUCAUAAAAAUAAGCAGUAUAUUUAUUGAUAUAAUAAUUUUAACAACUUUUUAUAAAAAAAAAUGACUUCUUUUGAUUUCUUAACUAGUGCUCUUAAAACACUCGUUAAGAUCCUUUUUAGUUUUGUAAUUUUUUAGUGUUAUGGAUGGACCAUAUGAUAAUACUAUAUAAGUGAGGUCAAACGACAUAAAUAUCUAAUUUUAUAUUAAAAAUACAAUAAGCAAGUGGAGGCAAGUGGGGUCGGUUGACCCCAUUGCCCCCACACUGCAUCCGUCCCUGCAUGGCAACAAACCCAUACAUGCGGGUACUCACUCAAACUAAACCCAAUUUGACGGUUUUUUCCGCUUUGAUUGGGUUUUUGUAUGAGUUUGAGUUUUUCUCAAUUUCAAAACACGGGUACGGGACAUGUAUCGGUUAUAUUGGCACCCACUUCGAACUCAUACUCAAACCCGUCCUAGAUGUAGAAAGUCAAUUUAUUGCCCUGUUUAUAUAAAUAGAAACUCAACUCUAAAUCAUUUCACUAACACAGUCAGAGUCUCAGUCUUUCACAUGACACUCACUUAUCAUAGUUCGCUCUUUUCUCCUUCGAUAUCUCACACUUUCGGCCUCUCUCUUCUUAAUCACCAUAGUCAUAGAUCAUCAUCAUCUCUUUGCUGGAUAAUGCAUUACAACAUUGCGUUCAAGACUGAAAAAUACUUUUAUUAUUAUUUAAAAAAAAAAAAUCCAAUGCGGAGAUAGGGAUGGGUCGGGGAUACCCGAAUGCAUUAGGGAUGAGGACGAGAUUCAUUUUCUCAUCCUGGUUGGGAAUGAGUAGGAUAACUAGUAGGUAUAUAGGAGUAUCAUACGAGAACGAGGAAGGUAAAACUCGCCCCCACCCUGUCCCAUUGUCAUGCCUAGUUAUUUUUCUUUUGGACAUCAUUCCGACAAGGCGACAAUCUGUACAUUCCCUCCUCUUUUGGGACAUCUUUGCCAUUUAAAAAAAUAAUAAUAAUAUUUGUACAAUUAUUUUUUGACAAUUUUCUCUCUCAUAUUCACAUUAUGUUUUUACUUUUUCUUUCUAUUGCUAUAGUUUUUGUGUCAAUACUUCAUUGUCUUUAUAAAUAAUGGUUGUCCAAAAGUUAUCAUUGAAAUGAUUGUUCAAAUAACACAACUAAAAAUAUCUUAUUUUUCAACAGUAACCAAAAUUAACUUCUAGCCACCGCCUAUCAAGCCAAGUUGUACUUCGGUGGGGAUAUUAUGGAUUGGAUGGGGAACCAAACUUUGAUGCAAUAAUGUUUUAUUUAGUCAACUCAAUAAUAUUUUAAAUGUUUUUUAUUUUUAAAAAAUAAAAAUUCAUCGUUUUGAUUAUUUUUAUCUGUCAAAGACGAUCCAACGUUGAAUUGAAAAUAUGUCUAGAUAUUUCCUAACCGACUUGAUAGGUGAAAUCAAAUACAUGAAAAAUUAUCUUGAGAUAUGAAAAUUUAAUUAAAUUAAACAUAUCUAAUACAAAUUAAUCACAAUGUCACAACAUUUCCUAAUGAGUGUGAAAAUUGUUACUACUAUUACAUAUGGAUAGCGGAAGUAUUAAUUAAGCUUGGUGGCUAGAAGUUCAUGUUGUAUUAUAUUGACCAACAGUUUGAAACUUUAUUUGACUUCUAAUUUAGAUACAUUAAUUUGCUUUGAUCCUCUAACCAAAUCACGUACUCUAUGAACUAUCAUAGUUCAACUAUAAUCCAAACUUUUGAAGAUUUUGGCUUACAUUUUAUAUUUAAAACAAAAAACAUAAACUUUUUGAGUUUUUAGACCAAUUCCUUAACAAAAAGACAAUAUAUGGACAGUAUCAAAGUACUAGUUUAUUGCUUUCUUCUCUUCCAUUUCAUACCAACUUUCAAUGCCUUGGAAACCAUUGUUUCAGGACAAUCAAUCAAAGACAAUGAGACACUAAUCUCAAAAGAUGGAACUUUUGAAGCUGGUUUCUUCAACUUUGGAAAUUCAAAUAACCAAUAUUUUGGUGUAUGGUACAAGAAUAUUUCACCAAAGACUCUUGUUUGGAUAGCAAACCGAGAUGUUCCACUAGGAAACUCAUCAGGAGUUUUGAAUCUCACAGAUAAAGGAACUCUUGUUAUUGUUGAUUCCAAAGAGGUUACGAUAUGGUCAUCUAAUACAUCAACGACGACAUCAAAACCAAGUUUGCAGCUCUUGGAAAGUGGAAAUCUUAUUGUAAAAGAUGAAAUCGACCCGGAUAAAAUUUUGUGGCAAAGUUUUGAUCUUCCUGGUGACACUUUGCUCCCAGGUAUGAGUAUUAGAACAAACUUAGUAAAUGGUGAUUAUAAAGGUUUGGUAUCUUGGAGGGAUACACAAGAUCCUGCUACUGGUUUGUAUUCAUAUCAUAUAGAUACUAAUGGUUAUCCUCAAGUAGUGAUUACAAAAGGAGAUACAUUAUUCUUUAGAAUAGGUUCAUGGAAUGGAAGAAUUUUAUCAGGAAUUCCUUCUGAGACACUUUACAAAGCCUAUAACUUUUCAUUUGUGAUUACUGAGAAGGAAAUUUCUUAUGGAUAUGAACUUUUGAACAAGUCUGUUGUUUCAAGAUACUUGGUAUCUUCAACUGGUCAAAUAGCGCGAUACAUGUUGUCGGAUCAGACAAAUAGUUGGCAACUUUUCUUUGUCGGACCUGCAGACAGUUGUGAUAAUUAUGCUAUCUGUGGUGCAAAUUCUAACUGUGAUAUUGAUAAGUCACCAGUAUGUGAAUGUCUUGAAGGUUUCGUUCCAAAGUCUCAAGCAAACUGGAGUUUACAAAAUUGGUCGGAUGGUUGUGUUAGGAAAGUGAAGUUAGAUUGUGACAACAAUGAUGGCUUUUUGAAGCAUAUGAGAAUGAAGUUGCCAGACACAUCAAAAUCUUGGUUUAAUAAGAGCAUGAACCUCGAAGAAUGUGAGCGAUUCUGUAUCAGAAACUGUUCUUGUACAGCAUAUGCAAAUUUAGAUGUCAGAGAUGGUGGAAGUGGCUGCUUGCUUUGGUUUAAUAACAUUUUGGAUGUCAGAAAAUUACCCUCUGGAGGGCAAGACCUUUACAUAAGAGUUGCAGAUUCAGCUUCAGCUUCAGAACUAGGUAGUAAUACUUUAUUUUCAUCUGUUAGAUAGAUAUUUAUAUUGAAUCAAACUCAACCUUACAAAAUUAGUAUGUAAGUUGAAAUGUACCACUUUUUAUAAGUUUUUUUUUCCCAAACUAUAUAUCUUUUCCAGUGUGGGGUUUAAGUGUUAAUGGAAUUCAAGUGUGAGUGGUUAAUCCCACAUCGGCUAGGAAUGGAGGAAAUGGUGGAUAUAUAAGAUAGGUGACUUAUAUACCUAACUCCUUAAGGUUUUGGAAUGAGAUGUGGUGUCAAUGUCUCUUAGAAGUCGUGGACGUUUCUUGAAAAGGUGGCCAUGGCGUGGUGAAUUUAUAUAGUCACCAUAUGAAAUUUACGAAGGGAUGCCCGAUAUUGCAGUGCCAUAGGCUGCAAUAGUGUGUUUAUAUGGCGAACUUUUGGCAUUCCUCCAUAUGUUGUCGACAACAUUGAUCGAUAGACUCUAAUUCAGCUUGUAAGGGAUGUCACUCUUUAUAUGCAUUCCUAAGCUGCACAUAGUUUUUCAUUGCAGACAGUUUGGGGAUGCAUGUAAUAAAUUAAUCCUUGUUCUCGACUUUCAUUGUGUAGUCCUUCAGAUGCCUUAACUUUUUGUAUUUCUGAACUGCUACAGAUUUUGGUGUGUUGAUUGACAGUACUUUUAACCUAUCAGACCAUAAUACAGGCUUGAACAAGAAGAAGCUUGCAGGAAUUCUAGUGGGCUGUAUUGUGUUUAUUGCGAUCAUACUGAUAAUAUUGGUAGUGUCCAUACAUCGUGUUCGGAGGAAGAAACUAGACAAGCCAGGUUAUCUUUUAGUUAUUUGAAACUGAUUCAACAAUUGUAACUACGCAGUCUGAUAGAAUUUUAUAGUUUUGUAAUGCAUUAUCAAAUAUUCUUCUGUAUAUUCUUCCAGGGAAGAAUUACGAUUUUAACUUGAAGAAUCACACCGACAACAAAGAGAAUGAAGAAAUUGACAUACCAAUAUUUGAUUUAUCAAUCAUAGCUAAUUCAACCAAUAACUUCUCUGUUGAUAACAAAUUGGGGGAAGGAGGAUUUGGACCAGUUUACAAGGUAUCAUGAAGCUAGUUUGGAUACAUUUCUCUAACAGUAAUUAUAGUUAAGAAAAAAGUUAGAAAAAUGUUAAGAAAAAUGUGAAAAUUGUAUAAGCUAGAAGCUAACUUAAAUUGGUUCUCGUUAGCUUAUCUAGCUUUCAAUAUAAUGAUCGUCAGGGUAACUUGGAAAAUGGACAAGAUAUAGCUGUGAAAAGGCUUUGCAAUACUUCAGGACAAGGACCAAAGGAAUUCAUAAAUGAAGUUAAGCUAAUUGCGAAUCUUCAGCACAGAAAUCUUGUGAAACUAAUCGGCUGUUGCAUUCAUGAUGAUGAGAGACUACUGAUAUAUGAAUUCAUGAUCAACAGAAGCUUGGACUACUUCAUUUUUGGUUUGAGAUUUUAUAUUCUAUAUCAUUUGUUUUGAUUUUCUUUACCAUGAUCAAAAAGUUUCCCUCUUCUAACUAAGCCGAAAACUUUCAUAAUCA
rnacentral:lncRNA from 1 species